rnacentral:rRNA from 1 species
CCUACGGGAGGCAGCAGUGGGGAAUAUUACACAAUGGGGGAAACCCUGAUGCAGCGACGCCGCGUGAGUGCAGACGUAUUUCGGUAUGUAAAGCUCUAUCAGCAGGGAAGAAAAUGACGGUACCUGAUUAAGAAGCCCCGUCUAACUACGUGCCAGCAGCCGCGGUAAUACGUAGGUGGCAAGCGAUAUCCGGAUGUACUGGGUGUAAAGGGAGCGUAGACGGCAGCACAAGUCUGGAUUGAAAUGCCGGGGCUUAACCCCGGAACUGCUUUGGAAACUGUGCAGCUAGAGUGCAGUAGAGGUAAGUGGAAUUCCUAGGGUAGCGGUGAAAUGCGUAGAUAUUAGGAGGAACACCAGUGGCGAAGGCAGCUGACUGGACUGUAACUGACGUUGAGGCUCGAAAGCGUGGGGAGCAAACAGGAGUAGAUACCCUGGUAGUC